rnacentral:rRNA from 1 species
UACGAAGGGGGCUAGCGUUGCUCGGAAUCACUGGGCGUAAAGGGUGCGUAGGCGGGUCUUUAAGUCAGGGGUGAAAUCCUGGAGCUUAACUCCGAAACUGCAUUCGAUACUGCCGUGCUUGAGGACUGGAGAGGAGACUGGAAUUUACGGUGUAGCGGAUGAAAUGCGUAGAUAUCGUAAGGAAGACCAGUGGCGAAGGCGGGUCUCUGGACAGUUCCUGACGCUGAGGCACGAAGGUCAGGGGAGCAAACGGG